GUGCUUGCUUCAUCAACACUCAUACUAAAAUUGGAAUGAUACGCAGGAGAUUAGCACUGUCCCUGCGCAAAACGACAUGCAGACUUGUGAUGUGUUACAAAUUAAA
ensembl:snRNA Gm24374 U6 spliceosomal RNA